GUGCUCACUUUGGGAGCACAUAUACAUAAAUUAGAAUGAUACAGAGAAGAUUAGCAUGGCCUUGAGCAAGGAUGACACACAAAUUCAUG
ensembl:snRNA U6 U6 spliceosomal RNA